ACAUGCAAGUCGAACGAUGACGACCGUGCUUGCACGGUCUGAUUAGUGGCGAACGGGUGAGUAACACGUGAGUAACCUGCCCCUCACUUCGGGAUAACCUCGGGAAAUCGUGGCUAAUACCGGAUAUGAGUCUCCACCGCAUGGUGGUGACUGGAAAGUUUUUCGGUGGGGGAUGGACUCGCGGCCUAUCAGUUUGUUGGUGAGGUAACGGCUCACCAAGGCGAUGACGGGUAGCCGGCCUGAGAGGGCGACCGGCCACACUGGGACUGAGACACGGCCCAGACUCCUACGGGAGGCAGCAGUGGGGAAUAUUGCACAAUGGGCGAAAGCCUGAUGCAGCGACGCCGCGUGAGGGAUGACGGCCUUCGGGUUGUAAACCUCUUUCAGUAGGGAAGAAGCGAAAGUGACGGUACCUGCAGAAGAAGCGCCGGCUAACUACGUGCCAGCAGCCGCGGUAAUACGUAGGGCGCAAGCGUUGUCCGGAAUUAUUGGGCGUAAAGAGCUUGUAGGUGGCUUGUCGCGUCUGCCGUGAAAACCCGAGGCUCAACCUCGGGCGUGCGGUGGGUACGGGCAGGCUAGAGUGUGGUAGGGGAGACUGGAACUCCUGGUGUAGCGGUGAAAUGCGCAGAUAUCAGGAAGAACACCGAUGGCGAAGGCAGGUCUCUGGGCCAUUACUGACACUGAGAAGCGAAAGCAUGGGUAGCGAACAGGAUUAGAUACCCUGGUAGUCCAUGCCGUAAACGUUGGGCACUAGGUG
rnacentral:rRNA from 1 species